UAAAGGAUAUAAUUGUGGAGGCAUCACCGCUAGCUGAAAAGCCCGAAACAAGAGAUGUGCUUGGCUAUGAGGAGAGACAAGCUGUUGAGGCGAAUCGCAACCACAUUGCAUUGGCGGGCACAAACGUCAACAUUUGAGGCAGAGAUGGUUGACAACGAGAACAGUGUGACCCUUUCUGGUAACUGGGAUGCACUUGCUGACCGUCGGCUCCGAGCAACAAACCUGGUUCCCAUGCUCAAGUAGGGAGAAGGCAUCAUAUGAAGGACUGAGUAAAAGGACAAGGUUCUACAGCAUCUGCAAACUGCUAGGUCAUAAGAAGACUACCUGCCCUGAGGGAGGUGACAUGUUAAACAGCCUCGCAAACCUGCAAGCUGCAAGAAUUGUGGCAUCGCUGGACACGGUCGCACUACGUGCGCCAUGCUGCUGGGUGCUGCUGCAUCUUAAGAGUUCCGACAGUCAUGUACGAUAACUCUGAAUUUCAAAUUUGAAGGAUUUUCUAGUGUGUGAUUUCUGCAUGGACAUGACGCUUGUUCCUCCUUGAGUAUAAGCUAUGUAUGUCAAACGAUGCUGAACUAUGUGGAGUGGUAAAAUUUUGUUUCGGCACCAUUGAUGUCGCUUGAGACAAAUAUGAUUUAAAAAAAAAUUGCACUAAGGCACCGAUUGGAUUGAGUUUUCCACCAAAAUACCUCCAUAAGAAAAAGUCAGGUGAGUUGGUUCCAAGUGCUUGGUUCGUCGUUGUAUUGGGUCUGUAUUAUUUACGCUGGUAUUCCCUGUUACGUUCGUAUGCGGCAGGUUUAAGAUACACGCUUCUACACAUCGUUUCUUUUCCGGGCGGAAAUCUCCUGUGGCCGGUAUUACACGCCUGUAAACUAAAUCCGGCAGUAUACUGUUACAGGGAAGCAGGGUCUUACUAUGUUGUGAAACUUUCCCUGGGCGGGUGCUCCAAUUACUUAUCUACCGGCUGGGCUGGUAGAUGGUCGUUAGGUGAACGUCAAGCCGGAAUGGCUCAGGCACAGAAAAAGGGCUGAUCCAUCCGACUGCAUCCUGUACCGGAACGGCAGAGUUGUUGGGUCGCAUAUUAAUGAGCGGGUUCCAGCCUGGAAUGCAUCUACAAUACGGCUGCCGUGUACAGACCAAAAUACAUCAAACACAUGGAUCCCGAGGACAGCGGGCAGGCGAGAUAACAGGCUCAGUUGUGCUCAUGAUCAGAAGCGAAUUUUCAUUUGAAGGUGCACCUUUAGUUAUUAACCAAUACAUGUAUUGUUCAUGUCUUCUACUCCCUCUGUAAAGAAAUAUCUAUCUUAUAUUUGAAGGCACAUCUUUUACUCUCUCUGUAAAGAAAUAUAAGAUAGAUAUUUCUUUACAGAGGGAGUACAUAGUUCUUCGAACCCAAAAGUAUCACUAUGUAGAUGAAUUGUAUGAUGGGUUACAAACUUUACUUAUAAGACUACAUGAACUGCUAAUUACUUCUUUUAAUAAAAGAUGAUCUACUCUAAUCUCGACUUGGUUUGUGUCAUGUUGGGAGGUGGAUGGGAGGCCAUUCCAAAGGAUUGUUUUGGCAGACUGCGCCAACUGGAAUUUAAAGUAUAUAUGGUCAUUCAACGCAUCAUGCGAGGAGUCAAAUGACAAGGCAACUGAACCAAUCAAUACGUAGUAUGCCUUAGUAGAACUAUAUAGGUUUCUUACAACUCUACUCUUUGUAAUGAACCUGAUGCAGAUAUGUUAUCUUGGGCAACCACUGUGCUUUGCUUCUGGAACAGAUUAAAAUUUCCUCUUUGCUAUGUGCUUGCAGAACAAUUAGUUCACUGCUUGUACCUCAACUGCUUUUGGUAUAUCUUCAUGGUCUGCCAUCGAUACUAAACUUACUGAAACUGAACAAUUACUCGAAUUUCCUUUUGAUGUACCAAAUGUUUUAUUAUAUUGAAGUCUUAUAUGUUGCGCCACGGCAUGCAUGUAUUUUAGAUGUGACUCCUUUAUUCUCAGUUAGUUGCAUCAGCUUGCACUUAUUAUGUCCUUCCAUGCCUACUUACAUGAGUGUGUCACUUAUAUUGUUCAUGGUGUCUGGGGGCUGAUCAUUAUACAACCAUUGUGGCCUAUCAAUAAAUGUUAGGAUGAUAGAGAGAUUGAUCAGUCUUUCUCGGAUAAUAUAUGGUUUUACUUACUGUUGUUAUAUACUUUCUUCAGAUAUAGGCCUGCUACCAUGUCUUUUCUCGCUGGACACGCCUUCCGAUGGCGACAGUGAGGACUUCUAUCCCGCUCGUCUCCCAGCAAGGCAUCUCUACCUCCCUCCUGCAGAGAUACCCGAAGACCGUCUUGGACUCUUCCUUCUUCAGUGUUUCCUCUUUUUGUUACACAACUUUGUGGUGCUUAGUGCAUGUAUCAUCCCCUCCUAUCAAUUCAUUCUGAAAGAAAGAGAUGGAGGGUUGGUAGUGUUUAUGGGAAAUGGUUGCAUUUUACAAAAAAAAAUGUGUCUUUGUUGACCGGUUUUGCUCGAGAUUAAAAAGUCUUGCCUACUAUUGGUGCCAAGCUCU